ensembl:lncRNA
AAUGUGGAGUCUAUAUACAGGGGGUACCGGUACAGAGUCAAUGUGGAGGCUAUAUACAGGGGGUACCGGUACAGAGUCAAUGUGGAGACUAUAUACAGGGGGUACCGGUACUAUGUCAAUGUGGAGGCUAUAUACAGGGGGUACCAGUACAGAGUCAAUGUGGAGGCUAUAUACAGGGGGUAACGGUACAGAGUCAAUGUGGGGACUAUAUACAGGGGGGUACCGGUACAGAGUCAAUGUGGAGACUACAGUAUCAUGCCAGGUUUCAUGUGGACCCCAGGAAGAGUAGCUGACGCUUUGGCAGCGGCCAAUGGGGAUCCUAAUAAAUACCAAAAUACCAAUCAGAUGAGGGAGUGUCAUGACAGUCACAAUGUCACGACUUCUGCCGAAGUUGGUCCCUCUCCUUGUUCGGGCGGCGUUCGGCGGUCGACGCCAUCGGUCUUCUAGCCAUCGCCGCUCCACCUUUCAUUUUCCAUUUGUUUUGUCUUGUUUCCCCGCACUCCUGGUUCGCAUUCCCCCAUCAGACUAAAUGUAUAUUACCCUCUGUUUCCCCCAUGUCUGUGUGUGGAAUUGUUCUUUGUGCAGGGUGUUAUGCUACAGGCUGUCUUGC